ensembl:lncRNA
UUUAAGGCAUAUUUAUCCAUGUAAAUACAUAUUUUGGUAUACACAUUCUUCAUAACACAGUUCUGUGGGCUCUGUGGAGGUUUUGGUAGCAGAACAUUUGCCAUUGUCUAUUUUGAACACUUGCUCAGAAAAUGUGCAAAAAAAGCAGCUGUCACUGGGAUGGGUUUAACACUCCUGGAUCUCAAAAACAGCAUCAACUCUAAAAAAAAACCUAUUGAAAAGUUUAAAAAAAGCUGUCUGGCUCUGGAGGAUCCUGCCAAGACACAAACCCUUGAGAAGCUGCGUUUGUUCAACUCUGAGUUGUGAGACACGCUCAGCUGAGUGUCAGCUCAGUGCCAGGGCCAGCAGCCGUGUGACAGUAGUGUCACAGUGUGGGGACAGCCCUGAGACACUGCACAGGGGCCCUCCCAGCCUGGGGGCUCCAGCAGCCUGCUGGAAAUGCUCAGCUGAGCCUUUUUGUGUUGGGAAGGAAGGAAUGCACAGAGCCAGCUUGGCUGGCAGACAGAGCAGGGAAGCACAGGACAAACCUUCCAACAGCUGCCCAAAGUGCCCCCAAAAUGAGGGGCUGGAAGCAGCCCUGAGCACCCUACCAUCCUCCCAGCCCCUGGAGUGGCUGUGCUCACUCUGCUGCCUCUUUGGGAGCACAGACCCCAGCCCAGCUCACCCCAGCCAGGUGUGUGCCCCUGAGCCCUCUGCUGCGGCUCCAGGCCUGCCCAAACCCUGCAGGGCCCUCAGCCCCUCACACCCCCAGCAUCUCCUGCCUCACAAACCACCCCUGGCACCCAGACACGGCUCCCAGUUCUGCUGCUGCUGCUCUGGGUUUGGGGGUUUCUUUAUUUUUUUUUCUUUUUUUCUUUUCUGUUUGGGGUUUUCUCUUUUUUUCUUUUUUUCUUUUCUGUCCCCCCCAAGUGAAAAUCAAAUGUGGGACAGGACCUCCCGUCCGUGCCACCCAGUGGCUCUCCCUGGUGUGAAUGCAAACAUUCAACACUUCACGGAGUGUUCUCCUUUUCAUGUUUAAUCAAGCUGCUGCUCAUUCUAUUCUGUUGCUGGAAAGAUCAGGUUCCAAAUGUCAGGAAUCACUGGAAUGCAGGGUUUGAUCCAGCCACAGCAUAGAACCCUCUCCCAGUUUUACACACGUGGGUGGGGUUACCCAUAGCCUCAUUUCUCCCUUCAGAAAACUGCACUGACACAAGACUUCCUGCAGCACCACUGUUUCUAUUGAAUGGAUUCUAAAAUAGAGCACUUUAAAGCUGCAAUACAAGAGACAUGGGGGUAUUAGGACUGAUAAACUCAUUUGAGGUGAGUUUGUACCCUUUCCUUGCAGAAUGGGUUUGUUCAUGUUAUUCCAGGUUUUAAAAAACGCCACAUUUCUGAUAACAGCAACUGCUUGGCACACGGCUGUAAAUCAUAAGAGAAAUAAUGCAGCCUGUCACUGACCACAUGCAGAGUGACCCAGGGUGUUUUAUUGCCAUCUGUUGGAGUGAACAUCUCUGUUCUCUCAGCAGGGAUAGCAGAGGCACGGCACCUCCUGGCUGUGCACUGGCCUGGGACAGCUCACACUGAGCCCAGCGAGCUCCCAGCCCUCCUUGCUGGAAAAAUGGAGAUUUUGGGACUGCUGAGUAUUCCCAAGGCUGGGGCUUCUCACUGCCAGCACCUGUCAUGAGCAGGAAAAGUGAGGAAUUGGGCAAUUCCAGCCACCUGCUGGAGCUCAAACUCAGAGCCUGGGAGUGAUGAUCACAGUGAAAGUGGUGCUGCCCGCCCAAGGCCAGGCUGGACGGGGCUAGGAGCAGGAUGGGAUAGUGGAGGUGUCCCUGGGAUAGUGGAGAUGUCCCUGUCCCUGGGAUAGUGGAGAUGUUCCUGUGCCUGUCCCUGGCAGAUUUGGCAUGGGACGGGCUCUGUCCCUCCCAGCCCAGCCCAGCAUUCUGUGAUAAGCAUUUUGCUUUUCCUGCUGUCAGCAGUUGUUGGUGAGCAGGCCAGGAGCUCUUGGGGCCACCAGGGGAUGUGGUGCCCAAGGGCUG